AGGGCACCACCAGGGGUGGAGCCUGCGGCUUAAUUUGACUCAACACGGGGAAACUCACCAGGUCCAGACACAAUAAGGAUUGACAGAUUGAGAGCUCUUUCUUGAUUUUGUGGGUGGUGGUGCAUGGCCGUUCUUAGUUCGUGGGGUGACCUGUCAACUUGAUUGUGAUAACGAACGAGACCUUAACCUACUAAAUAGUCCGUAUUGCUUUGGCAGUACGCCGACUUCUUAGAGGGACUAUCGGUGUAAGCCGAUGGAAGUUUGAGGCA
rnacentral:rRNA from 1 species